GGGCCCCAGCCAAUCAACAAGGGCCCCAGCCAAACGCCAAGGCCUACAUCCAGCCCCCGGAGGCCCCCAGUGACUCUGGAUUGGGGCUUUAAUCUUCUCCCCCAGUGUGCUGCUGGACCUUAGAAGGAGAGGAGCGGGCGGAGAGAGACACCCCUGGAUCGAAAAGUAUAGAGGCAACAUCGUGAGGCCUGCAUGGCUGGAAGAAGAGAGCCGAGGGGUGCCAUCAGAUGUGUUGUGUGGAGGGACGUUCUGGGGACACUGAGGGCAAAGACAAAAUUCCCAGGAAAUAGGAGGCACAUGACGGCAGAGGUGGAGAGGUGGGCAGCAGUCUGUUCCUGCCGGAUAGGAGAGCGUGGUGCAGACUUCAAAGUCAUCUCACUUAAAGCCUGCUAAUUAGCACCAUGAGAAAGAAAUUCUGAAAGUCCUUGAUAAACUAUUUCUUCCCACUAUUCCCGACUGCUGCUAUACAGCCCUCCAGCUCAAGCUGGCGCUGGGUAAAGCAUUAUUGCAGCGUUGUUUAUAACAGAGGAACUUGGCGGGGACCCUUCAUGUCCACCCAUAGGACAAAGGCAGAAUCACAGAUAAACCUGCAUGUGAUGACAAGGACAUCCAGCAGUUAAAAGGAAUUCACAUGCCUGUACAUCUGAAUAGAUCCUAAAGACACUGCUGACAAAGCUCAAAGUGCAUGAGGAUAUUCAUCCCGAUCUCUAUUAGGAGGAAAUGCCUCAUGUGUAUUAACGAACAAGCAUACAGAUCUAAAAGUGUAAGGAACAGAUUGGAGGUCUGCCCUGUAGCAGUUAGAAUUAAGAAGGACCUCGGGGUUUGGAGUGGUAUUUAAGAGAACUUGAAUUUGGAGUUUUGUUUUUUUUUUAAGGCAAAUGUUAAGUUAUUGGUAUAAUUUAAAGUGAUAAAACUGAAAGUUUUUUUUUUUAAGUACUUAAUGAAUAGAGGCCUAAGCCUCUCACUGUUUAGAAACUCCACUUUCUAAACUCCACUAUUUAGAAAGUACACGAUUCAACCCUCCCUCGUUUUUUCCUUUGUCUUCAGCUCAUUGUGGGGACGCAGCUGAGACAAAGGGCCUCCAUGGGCGCUCUUCUCUGACCUCAAGUCCCACCUGCCCAUGAAAACGCUCCACUGCUUUUCAGACCUCCCCUCAGCCCUGCUGUUUCUGGGGACCCUAAGCAGAGAGUGGGAGGGUCCCUGGUGUCAUUUGGAAACGGCUGCUGGGGGCAGGGUUCGCUUCCUGGGAGGGUGGGCGGUGUCUAACUCAGCCUUUCAGAUGGACCUAGUACGUGGGUCAGAAGCCAAGGUCAAACUCGAGUAGCCCAGCCCUCCAGGGCGGGUGCAGCCAGCUUGCUUCCCCGUGCUGGGCUCUGUAAGCAGGCACGCUGCCUGCCUCGCCCCAGUGAACCUCUCCGGCCAAUUGCCCCAAGCUCUCAGGCCCAGAUGGGCAGACUCUCAGGCGGGCUGAGGUAGGACCCACAGGGAUUUGGGAACUUCGGGCCCUUUCUGCUCUGCUUGGAUUUACUAUGUUUUAAAGAGGUUUUUUUUAUUGCCCUUUUAAAACUUAAGUUUUCCUCCUGGCAAUGACUUGCGAGCAAUAUGGGUCAGCUUCUUUAGUCCACAUCUACUUUCUGGAAUUUGUGUUGAAUCAGUAUGUUGGCAGCAAUGCCACCCUCUCCAGUCCAGUCCCUGCAGUGGGAUUUGGGAUCCUUGAUGACAGCCCCUCUGUCCACAUGGGAACCCCCAAUGACCACUGCAAAAGGCUGAGUUUUUCAUGUUCUAUAUCCAGGAAAAAAAGGGAUAGAGGGGAGAGCUUGAUGAUUAUAAACUGACCCUAGAACGUCCCUCCUGUCCUUCCAG
ensembl:lncRNA